rnacentral:rRNA from 2 species
CUUUCAACAACGGAUCUCUUGGUUCUGGCAUCGAUGAAGAACGCAGCGAAAUGCGAUAAGUAAUGUGAAUUGCAGAAUUCAGUGAAUCAUCGAAUCUUUGAACGCACAUUGCGCCCUCUGGUAUUCCGGAGGGCAUGCCUGUUCGAGC